rnacentral:rRNA from 1 species
UGGGGAAUAUUGCACAAUGGAGGGAACUCUGAUGCAGCGACGCCGCGUGAGUGAUGAAGGAAUUCGUUUCGUAAAACUCUGUUCUAUGGGAAGAAAAGGACUGUACCAUAGGAGAAAGCUCCGGCUAAAUACGUGCCAGCAGCCGCGGUAAUACGUAGGGGGCAAGCGUUGUCCGGAAUCACUGGGCGUAAAGGGUUCGCAGGCGGAAAUGCAAGUCAGUUGUGAAAGGCAGAGGCUCAACCUCUGUAAGCAAUUGAAACUGUAUUUCUUGAGAUGUGGAGAGGCAAGUGGAAUUCCUAGUGUAGCGGUGAAAUGCGUAGAUAUUAGGAAGAAUACCGGUGGCGAAGGCGGCUUGCUGGACACAAACUGACGCUGAGGAACGAAAGCGUGGGUAGCAAACAGG